rnacentral:rRNA from 1 species
CCUACGGGAGGCAGCAGUGGGGAAUUUUGCGCAAUGGGCGAAAGCCUGACGCAGCGACGCCGCGUGAGGGAUGAAGGUCUUCGGAUCGUAAACCUCUGUCAGCAGGGAAGAACGGUCACUGUGCUAAUCAGCAGUGAAUUGACGGUACCUGCAAAGGAAGCACCGGCUAACUCAGUGCCAGCAGCCGCGGUAAGACGGAGGGUGCGAGCGUUAAGCGGAAUUACUGGGCGUAAAGCGCUCGUAGGCGGUAUGUCAAGUCAAGGGGGAAAUCCCCGCGCUUAACGUGGGAAAUGCCAUUGAAACUGGCAAACUGGAGUGUGUGAGAGGAUAGUGGAAUUCCAGGUGUAGGAGGGAAAACCGUAGAGAUCUGGAGGAACAUCAGUGGCGAAGG